AUGAAGAACUUCCUUGACUUUUCAGUGCUGAUACAGAGUACUCGGAAAAAUCAAUACAGCUUCUCCAGGAUAUCAACUCUGCAGAUUCCUACAGAAGAGCAAGAGACAAAGAGAAAGAAUAAUAGGGCUAGACUCAGAGGAGAAAUCAUCAUUGUCCUUCAGAAUCCAACCUUAAGUGAAAAGGAGAAGCAGUCAAAUUGUAAUUUCAACUCUGUGCUGUCAGUGAGAGCUGCGAACAUGAAGCAGUUGCCAUUCUCAGUGGAACAGGAACCAAGUAGGAACUGGAGUUUCAGCACUCUCAGGCUCGUCCUGCAUUUGCUUCCUCACACGCCACUGAAAUACCAGAUUUGCUUGACAGAAGAAAAAAAGGCUGCAGUGUUGUCAGGAUCUCUAACUACAAUCCUCUGGCAAUGAAAGAGACCCCAGAAAUUAUGUAUAGUACGCUGCAGUGAAAACAUUAAAAGCCUCACUUUCCUACCUGCUGCACCCCAGUCAUUUUCUCUUCUUGACACAAGAUGGAGAAAAGGGGACAACCAGUAGUCAGAAAGGUAAAAGAAACACAUUUCUUUUAAAGUUGGAACAAGUCACAAAAUAAUGGACAUUUUUCAGAGCUGAAGCUUGUUGCUUUGGUUAUAUUUUUGAACUUCAGGGCAUAUAAAACUCUUAAAGAAAUGCAAACUAAAGUUGUUUUGUGCAGAAAUCUUGUCUUUUCCAAAACUCUUUUUCCUUGCUAAGAUUUGAAAGAAGUCAUAAAUUUAUAGUCGCAUUCCUCAACUAUAUAUAUCUAUAUAUCUAUGUAUUUGCUCUCCUUGAAAAAGAUCAGGAGAUUAACGUAUUGACAGAUAGUCGGGAAAUUAAAAAUUAUGAAUACACUUUAAUACAGUUUUCAUGCCUGCAGGUUUGACCACAAUGAAUAAACCGUGACGUUUGUUUAGUUUUCUGUGGUUU
rnacentral:lncRNA from 1 species